rnacentral:lncRNA from 1 species
AUGCAUGAAAAGCAUUGCCAUACUCUACAAACAAAUCCACAGCUACCUCAUGUAUGUGGUGUUAAGCGUUCAUGUUCAUUGAAUUCUCUGAAAUAUUUUCACACAAUUGAUAAUUUUUCUGUUGACAUAAUGCAUGAUAUUCUUGAAGGAGUUGCACAGUUUGAAGUGAAACUUAUCUUGGAGUAUUUGCAGAAGAACAUCUUGACUUCAAAACAGUUAGCACGUAGAAUAGAGUCAUUCAACUAUGGUUACACUGAGAGGAGAAAUCGCCCACCUGCAGUUAAGUUAAAUGAUGGAAGUAAUGAUUUGGGCCUGAAUGCCAUCCAGUCGUGGUGUUUGUUGCGCAACAUGCCAUUAAUAUUUGGUGAUUUAAUAGAGAGCGACAAUGAAUACUGGCAUCUUUUACUGUUGCUUGAGCAGAUAGUGGAUAUUGUUUUCUCUCCAGUCAUAACAUAUGGCAUGACCAUCUUUUUGAAGCACAUAAUUGUUGACCAUCACCGGCUUUUUAAGCACCUGUUUCCUGAUAGAAAUCUCUUGCCUAAGCAUCACUUUAUGUUACACUAUCCUAGAUGUAUAAGGAAUAUUGGACCAAUUGUGCACACAUGGUGCAUGCGUUAUGAGGCUAAGCACAAAUUUUUCAAGACUCAACUAAAAAGUUACAAAAACAUCACAAAGACUUUAGCUAAAAAGCAUCAGAGAUAUAUGGCCAUGUGUUGGGAAUCUUUUACCCAGUGCAGAUUAACAAUUGGUCCAGGAAAAAUGGUGCAGCUUCAAGAUUUAAAAGAAGGUCCAGAGUUUGCGGUCAAAUUAAACUCUGCAUUAUCAACAACUGUCUUGUCUGUGAGGUGGGUAAAGCACUAUGGCACUGAAUAUCGCCCUGACUUAUUAGUAUGUGUGGAGGUAACUGAUGAGAUGCCAGUAUUUUGUAAAAUUAAGACUAUAUUAGUGAAAGAUGAGCAGAUUUUACUCAGUGGCACUGCUGUUGAAACCAUUUGCUUUGACAAACAUUUUCAUUCAUUUAAAAUUGUGUUUAGGCCAAUUCAGACACUUAAGGUAUUCAGUGUUAAAGACUUGCUGUAUUAUAAAACAAUGGAUGUUCAAAUGGCAUAUGGAUCAGCAGAUUCUUCACUUUUUAUAGUUCCAUACUGCCAUCUAAUGAAGCUUUGA